UGGGAAUCUUCCGCAAUGGACGAAAGUCUGACGGAGCAACGCCGCGUGUAUGACGAAGGCCUUCGGGUUGUAAAGCACUUUUGUCCGGAAAGAAAUCCUUGGCUCUAAUACAGUCGGGGAUGACGGUACCGGAAGAAUAAGCACCGGCUAACUACGUGCCAGCAGCCGCGGUAAUACGUAGGGUGCAAGCGUUAAUCGGAAUUACUGGGCGUAAAGCGUGCGCAGGCGGUUUGCUAAGACCGAUGUGAAAUCCCCGGGCUCAACCUGGGAACUGCAUUGGUGACUGGCAGGCUAGAGUAUGGCAGAGGGGGGUAGAAUUCCACGUGUAGCAGUGAAAUGCGUAGAGAUGUGGAGGAAUACCGAUGGCGAAGGCAGCCCCCUGGGCCAAUACUGACGCUCAUGCACGAAAAGCGUGGGGAGCAAAACAGGAUUAGAUACCCUGGUAGUCCACGCCCUAAAACGAUGUCAACUAGUUGUUGGGGAUUCAUUUCCUUAGUAACGUAGCUAACGCGUGAAGUUGACCGCCUGGGGAGUACGGUCGCAAGAUUAAAACUCAAAAUGAAUUGACGGGGUCAUAGCUGUUUUCCUAG
rnacentral:rRNA from 1 species